rnacentral:tRNA from 1 species
UCGAUAUUGGUCCAGCGGUAAGGAUUUCCCGCUUUCACCGGGAGGGCCGGGGUUCGACUCCCCGAUAUCGAA